rnacentral:rRNA from 1 species
CGUGAGUGAUGAAGGCUUUCGGGUCGUAAAGCUCUGUCAAGUGGGAAGAAUCCAUAUGGUGUUAAUAUUGCCAUAUGCUGACGGUACCACUGAAGGAAGCACCGGCUAACUCCGUGCCAGCAGCCGCGGUAAUACGGGGGGUGCGAGCGUUAUUCGGAAUUACUGGGCGUAAAGAGCGCGUAGGCGGUCUUUUAAGUCAGGUGUGAAAGCCCGGGGCUCAACCCCGGAAGUGCACUUGAAACUAAGAGACUUGAGUAUGGGAGAGGGAAGUGGAAUUCCUGGUGUAGCGGUGAAAUGCGUAGAUAUCAGGAGGAACAUCAGUGGCGAAGGCGACUUCCUGGACCAAUACUGACGCUGAGGCGCGAAGGCGUGGGGAGCAAACAGGAUUAGAUACCCUGGUAGUCCACGCAGUAAACGGUGAACACUAGGUGUAGCGGGUAUUGACCCCCGCUGUGCCGCAGCAAACGCAUUAA